rnacentral:rRNA from 1 species
AGUGAACGCUGGCGGCGUGCUUAACACAUGCAAGUCGAACGAGAACGGAUUAUAGCUUGCUAUAAUUGUCAGCUAAGUGGCGCACGGGCGAGUAAUGUAUAGGUAAUAUGCCUCUUACUAAGGGAUAACAAAUGGAAACGUUUGCUAAUACCUUAUACUCCUUAUUAACAGAAGUUAAUAAGGGAAAGAUUUAUUGGUAAGAGAUUAGCCUGUAUUGUAUCAGUUAGUUGGUGGGGUAAUGGCUUACCAAGACUAUGACACAUAGCUGGUUUGAGAGGAUGAUCAGUCACACUGGAACUGAGACACGGUCCAGACUCCUACGGGAGGCAGCUGUGGGGAAUAUUGCACAAUGGACGAAAGUCUGAUGCAGCAACGCCGCGUGGAGGAUGACACAUUUCGGUGCGUAAACUCCUUUUAUAUGAGAAGAUAAUGACGGUAUUAUAUGAAUAAGCACCGGCUAACUCCGUGCCAGCAGCCGCAGUAA